rnacentral:rRNA from 1 species
UACAGAGGUCUCAAGCGUUGUUCGGAUUCAUUGGGCGUAAAGGGUGCGUAGGUGGCGCCGUAAGUCAGGUGUGAAAUUUCGGAGCUUAACUCCGAAACUGCAUUUGAUACUGCGGUGCUUGAGGACUGGAGAGGAGACUGGAAUUUACGGUGUAGCAGUGAAAUGCGUAGAGAUCGUAAGGAAGACCAGUGGCGAAGGCGGGUCC